CCUGACCCCUGGUCAGAGAUGAGAACCCUCCUUUCAGCUUCCAUGGCCUCCUGCACUUCUCUCUCCCACAGCCCUUGCGCUACAGGGUUGUAACUGUCCACUGACCCAUCUGUCGACUUCACUUGGCCCUGAGCUUUGGUCCCAGGAAAUCCAGCUUUCCUUGAGACGUCUCAGAAUUGACCUCUGAGACUGGAGGAAAGCACAUCAAGCUCACUGCCUUGCAAGGCAAUUACAGUUACAAAUGGGAGAAGGAGGACGUGACAGAGUGGCAUGCCCUAAGAAGCCCCAGCCACAUGGAGAGACCAUGGGAGAAGAGUGAGAUGCUCCAGUCAACAGACCCAGUUGAGCCUUCAGCUGCUACCAGGACCAACAAGCAGCGUGGAUACUGCAAUUAAGGCCCAGAGAAGACCAUUUCCAGGGUCAAGAUCCACCAAUUGUCAGGCCGGAACCCCGGUCUCUUGGCACCAACUCCAGGUCUUUUUCUGUCACCCCGUCUUUCCUCACUGGUGAUGGUUCUCAGGAG
rnacentral:lncRNA from 1 species